rnacentral:rRNA from 1 species
CCUACGGGUGGCAGCAGUAGGGAAUAUUGCUCAAUGGGGGAAACCCUGAAGCAGCAACGCCGCGUGGAGGAUGAAGGUUUUCGGAUUGUAAACUCCUUUUGUUAGAGAAGAAAAUGACGGUAUCUAACGAAUAAGCACCGGCUAAAACCGUGCCACCAGCCGCGGUAAUACGGAGGGUGCAAGCGUUACUCGGAAUCACUGGGCGUAAAGAGCGCGUAGGCGGGAUAGCAAGUCAGAUGUGAAAUCCUAGGGCUUAACCAUAGAACUGCAUUUGAAACUGGUAUUCUAGAGUAUGGGAGAGGUAGGUGGAAUGCUUGGUGUAGGGGUAAAAUCCGUAGAGAUCAAGAGGAAUACUCAUUGCGAAGGCGACCUGCUAGAACAUCACUGACGCUGAUGCGCGAAAGCGUGGGGAGCAAACAGGAUUAGAUACCCCAGUAGUC